AGAGCUUGAUCCUGGCUCAGGAUGAACGUUGGCGGUGCGCUUUAUGCAUGCAAGUCGUACGAAACCGUAGUUUUCGGAUUAUGGUUUAGUGGCGGACGGCUGAGUAACACGUAGGUAACUUACCCACGAGCGGGGGAUAACUUGCCGAAAGGUAAGCUAAUACCGCAUGAAAUGGAUCUGUUGAAGCAGAUCCAUCAAAGCCGCAAGGCACUUGUGGAUAGGCCUGCGGCCGAUUAGCUUGUUGGCGGGGUAAUGGCCCACCAAGGCUACGAUCGGUAGCUGGUCUGAGAGGAUGUCCAGCCAGAUGGGGACUGAGACACGGCCCCAACUCCUACGGGAGGCAGCAGCAAGGAAUAUUGGGCAAUGGGCGCAAGCCUGACCCAGCGACACCGCGUGGGGGACGAAGGUUUUCGGAUCGUAAACCCCUUUUCUCAGGGAAGAUAAUGACGGUACCUGAGGAAUAAGCCUCGGCCAACUACGUGCCAGCAGCCGCGGUAAUACGUAGGAGGCGAACGUUAUCCGGAUUUACUGGGCGUAAAGGGAGCGUAGGCGGUUUUUUAAGUCGGGUGUGAAAUCUCUUGACUCAAUCGAGAGGGGUCAUCCGAUACUGGACAACUUGAGGGCGGCAGAAGGAAAUGGAAUUCCGAGUGUAGCGGUGAAAUGCGUUGAUAUUCGGAAGAACACCAGUGGCGAAGGCGAUUUCCUAGGCUGUUCCUGACGCUGAGGCUCGAAAGCGUGGGGAGCGAAGCGGAUUAGAUACCCGCGUAGUCCACGCCGUAAACGGUGGACACUUGAUAUGGGGAGUAUCGACCCUCCUCGUGUCGAAGCUAACGCU
rnacentral:rRNA from 1 species